rnacentral:rRNA from 1 species
CCUACGGGAGGCAGCAGUGGGGAAUUUUCCGCAAUGGGCGAAAGCCUGACGGAGCAACGCCGCGUGAGGGAUGAGGGCCUCUGGGCUGUAAACCUCUUUUAUCAAGGAAGAAGAUCUGACGGUACUUGAUGAAUAAGCCACGGCUAAUUCCGUGCCAGCAGCCGCGGUAAUACGGGAGUGGCAAGCGUUAUCCGGAAUUAUUGGGCGUAAAGCGUCCGCAGGCGGUCUUGUAAGUCUGUCGUUAAAGCGUGGAGCUUAACUCCAUUUCGGCGGUGGAAACUACAAGGCUAGAGUGUGGUAGGGGCAGAGGGAAUUCCCGGUGUAGCGGUGAAAUGCGUAGAUAUCGGGAAGAACACCAGUGGCGAAGGCGCUCUGCUGGGCCAUAACUGACGCUCAUGGACGAAAGCUAGGGGAGCGAAAGGGAUUAGAUACCCCUGUAGUCCUAGCCGUAAACGAUGAACACUAGGUGUCGGGGAAUCGACCCCCUCGGUGUCGUAGCUAACGCGUUAAGUGUUCCGCCUGGGGAGUACGCNCGCAGUGUGAACUCAAUGAAUUGACGGCGNGAGACGAGCGACGACGACGACGAGGGAGUAGG